UUGUGACUUUCUCUCUUUUUUGUCUCGCUCCAGUCCAGAAACAGUCUACAGCAGGGGGAUAUGGAUGGGGCGAGACGCCUGGGACGCUUGGCUCGUCUGCUUAGCUGUGUGGCUAUCAUAGUGGGCCUCCUAAGCAUCAUAAUCUAUGUGGUGGUUGCAGUAACUGGAAAGGGGAUUAAGUAAGACGUGAAACCCAUCUACAGCACUACUGAAAAACUUACACAACAUAAUUAAAAUAAGAUCUCCCUCUUAACAAUAAUGCCACAGAAGUUGAAAAAUAAAUUAGGACUGUAGCAUCUAAAUAAGAUCUGAUUAAAUAUCAAAAAUGCAUGCAGUAGCUUAGCAUGCUCAGUGAAAAAAACAAAAUCCCAUUAUGUUAAAAAGAAUGGUGAUGGCUUGCUUUAUGUAAAUGAGAAACACUGAUGUUUCGGCAAGAAAUCGACUGAGAAAGUCAAAGGACGAGGGGACAUUUUUCAAAGAUGGUCUUUAAAAACAUGGCUACGACUGGCAAGCUGCAUUUUAACCUUAUAUUACUCCUGGUUGAUCUUGCAUUCAUAAAUUAUGCACAGAAAUAUUUGCAAUAUAACUACUGAUGUAUGUUUUAUAAAAAGAUUUAUAUGUGGAGUUUAAGCUAUGGGAACCAACUGGGAAUGACAAGACUGUUAGAAGCCUUGUCAGACUUAACAGUAAUGGUCAUUGGGGUUGGAGUUUUCAUUUUUGUUUAUUUAUUUUGUAGGUUUUGAUUAUAAAAAUGACCACCUGCAUGCCUGAUCUUGUAAGUGAAUAACUGACAGUCAGCAUUUUUUAUUAGUAUCUUUUUUAUUUACUUAUCUGUGAGAGUAGUGGGUAUCUACAGAUGGGAAUGUACAUCAUUGUCCAGUGCUAUAUUCUCUCAAUGGCUCCGUCCAAGCCAUGGGGCUCCACUACACAUCCUGUACUAGUAUAGUUUCCUUCAGAGAGGUAAGACUGUUACGUUACGCAUGCCAGGCCUCUCCUGACAAAAACUGCUGGAGCAUGGACAUUCACCUAGAGGCAUGCAACGGCCAGCACCAUUCUGUGCCAAGACCUUUAUAUCAGUAUCCUAAACAAAUCACAGGACUACUCAUCUUUUCCAGGGUUCUCUCCAGGACAGAAUGCCAGUCUCCCCGUUAUAAAUUUCCCUACUUAACCCUUAUAAAUAUGAGAUAUAUAUCAGCAUAUUUAUAGAAAUAUUUAGGCAUGCUGUGGGUGGACAAAACACUUUUUUUUAUCUUCACCAAGAAUGAGCUUGUUUAAGGAACUUUUCUUUGACACGUCUCACAGUGUUGAUUGCAUCUCUGUGACUGCUUAUUAAGACAAAAUUACACAAAUUAAAUAUGAGAUUGUAAAAAUAGAGGUACAGAUACAUAACAGCACUUAACUGGUUAGGUAGACUGAGGUUAGGAUGGACACAUUCCACAGCACAUCUGUUUCAUUCAUACUGAAUUAAGUAUUUUACUGCCCUUUCCUAGAUUUCUAAGCACUUUAUCCCUUAUUUUUCAUCAUUAUUCUCAUGUCCUGACAAUACUUUUGUAUGACCUUCACGUGUAAUCUCCUGAAUCUAGACUGUUAGCAACUCAACACCUACGACUUCAUUUAUAACCAUUGUACUGUAUAAUUUACUGUUUUGUGAAUUCAUGUGAUCUAAUGCUCCUUUUUUCCUAAAACUCUUUUCUUCACUUUAAACAAUUAUGUUAACUGUGUAGUUCAUAAUAACCAUUAGGCCAAUAUGAAUGAGAUGCAAAAAUGCUGCUAUGUGUCUUUUAAAACUGUGAUUUGUGUACAAAAUAUGUUUUUCUAUGUACCUUUGCAAGUGUGAAAUAAACAUUAACAUGCAUGGUCCACAA